ACACUCCUGCGGGAGGCAGCAGUGGGGAAUAUUGCACAAUGGGCGCAAGCCUGAUGCAGCCAUGCCGCGUGUAUGAAGAAGGCCUUCGGGUUGUAAAGUACUUUCAGCGGGGAGGAAGGCGAUAAGGUUAAUAACCUUGUCGAUUGACGUUACCCGCAGAAGAAGCACCGGCUAACUCCGUGCCAGCAGCCGCGGUAAUACGGAGGGUGCAAGCGUUAAUCGGAAUUACUGGGCGUAAAGCGCACGCAGGCGGUCUGUCAAGUCGGAUGUGAAAUCCCCGGGCUCAACCUGGGAACUGCAUUCGAAACUGGCAGGCUAGAGUCUUGUAGAGGGGGGUAGAAUUCCAGGUGUAGCGGUGAAAUGCGUAGAGAUCUGGAGGAAUACCGGUGGCGAAGGCGGCCCCCUGGACAAAGACUGACGCUCAGGUGCGAAAGCGUGGGGAGCAAACAGGAUUAGAUACCCCUGUAGUCCCAUG
rnacentral:rRNA from 1 species